rnacentral:misc_RNA from 1 species
GUGGGAGCAAGGCUUGCCCGCGAUGAACGAUAUCGCGGUUCAACUGUUAAACCGCGGUGUGGCCAUCGCGGGCAAGCCUUGCUCCCAC